UACGGAGGGGGUUAGCGUUGUUCGGAAUGACUGGGCGUAAAGCGCGCGUAGGCGGAUCGCAAAGUCGGGGGUGAAAUCCCGGGGCUCAACCCCGGAAUGGCCUUCGAGACUCGCGGUCUGGAGUUCGAGAGAGGUGGGUGGAAUUCCGAGUGUAGAGGUGAAAUUCGUAGAUAUUCGGAGGAACACCAGUGGCGAAGGCGGCCCACUGGCUCGACACUGACGCUGAGGCGCGAAAGCGCGGGGAGCAAACAGG
rnacentral:rRNA from 1 species